AACAGAUUCUCCCUCUCUUUCCCUCUCUCCUUCGUAUUGACAGAGCUGUUGAAAAAUCUUUGUCACGGUUACUCCCCCGAGAAAAUAUGCCUUCCUUUGUCUGCCACCGAAAUGAAAUCAUCCAUAGAUUGAUCCUAAAAACCCCACCAUUAAUUUCCUUCUCUAAACCCUAAUUUCCAAACCCUCCUCCUGAUUUUCAAAUCCUCUCUAUAAAAGAGCUGCGGUGAAAUGCUUGUUGAAGAUGCAGAAGCUGCUUCUGCUGCAAAAGAAACAUUCAAGUUCCCUCCUUUGUACUUCUGUUACUACUAGUUUUCUUUCUUUGACUUGUAGAAACAAACCCAGUAACUAUUUCCACUCUCACUCUAUUAAAGACCCUUUCUUUUAUCUUACUGUAAAGCCCUACACUUCUCUCUCAAUGCCUACUGUUGCAGUUAGUGGCAGCGGCGGCGGCUCUUCUCUCGCCAAUUGUGUGGCCAGAAAGACUGUUGUCAGACCCGCACUCAAGUCUCGUGUAUCUUCAAACUGUUACAGCGUCUGUCGUUGUGCCGCUGACAACACAGCACAAACCCCUUUGCGGGCUUGGGUUGUAGCCCGGCCUGCAUGGUACCACUCAGUGGCCGGGUCCGGGGCAGAGGGACCCAUCACCACAGCUGCGGCUGCUGCGGUGAAGAGUUGUGAUGGUGGAGACGGUGAGAAAGGAGAAAAAGAGGAAAAGACGGUGAGGAUGAAUAGGCGGCAGAAAGGGUCAUGUGAGAUGGUGGGUAAUGCUGAUUUGUUGACAAUUCCAGGGGUGGGGCCAAAAAAUUUAAGGAAACUGGUUGAGAAAGGGUUCCGGGGAAUGGCAGAGCUCAAGAAGCUGUAUAAAGAUAAGUUUCUUGGGAAGGCUAAUGAGACAAUGGUUGAGUAUUUACAGAGUUCUGUGGGAAUUAUUCACAAAAAUCAUGCUGAGAGCAUAACAACUUUCGUCAAAGAGAGUGUGGAUGAAGAGUUAAAGGAUGUAAACACAGAAGUGAAAACUGCAUCAAAGAAUCGAAUCACAUUUUGUGUUGAGGGAAAUAUUAGUGUUGGGAAGACAACAUUUCUUCAGAGAAUAGUUCGUGAUACAAUUGAGCUUCGUGAUCUUGUUGAAGUCGUACCAGAACCCAUUGAUAAGUGGCAGGAUAUUGGCCCUGACCACUUCAACAUACUCGAUGCAUUCUAUGCUGAACCGCAUAGGUAUGCCUAUACCUUUCAGAAUUAUGUGUUUGUUACAAGGGUGAUGCAGGAGAGAGAGUCAUCUGGUGGAGUGAAGCCGCUCAGGCUGAUGGAGAGGAGUGUUUUCAGUGACAGAAUGUUCUUUCUCGUUUGUUUGAUCCCAUCUGAGAGGAACAAAAACCUGAUUAAGAGUUUCGAGGCUGAUACUUUUUAAUCUCAUUGUUACUUUAUAAAGGUCUUUGUACGAGCUGUGCAUGAAGCAAAGUGGAUGAAUGAGAUGGAGAUCAGCAUUUAUGACUCAUGGUUUGAUCCAGUUGUCUCAGUUUUACCUGGUCUUAUUCCUGAUGGUUUUAUCUAUCUUAGAGCAAGCCCUGAUACUUGCCACAAGAGAUUGAAGCUACGGAAGAGAGCAGAAGAGGGUGGUGUCACCCUAGAUUAUCUGCGUGACUUGCAUGAAAAGCAUGAGAGCUGGCUUUUCCCUUUCCAAAGUGGUAAUCAUGGAGUUUUAUCUGUCAGUAAGCCACCCCUACAGCUGGAUAACUCUUUGCAUCCAGAAAUUAGAGAUCGUGUGUUUUAUUUGGAAGGCGACCAUAUGCAUUCGAGUAUUCAAAAGGUGCCUGCUUUGGUUCUUGACUGUGAAGCAAACAUUGACCUUAGCAGAGAUAUUGAAGCAAAGGAGCAGUAAUAUACUUCUAAAUAUCUUCUCUUAUAAUCCGAUAUAGGAAUGUUAACAAUUCUUUUGAGUUGUGUUUAUUGUUACAUUAUGCAUGCGUUACAGUUCCAAGUUGUGCUCAGAUCAUUUGGUACUUUUUUGGGUGUGUUCUGGGGUAGUGUUGGGUAUGCUAUGUCUGCUAAAAUUUUUAUGUCUAGACUAAUGCUGCUGCACUUUGCUUACCCAAUCAAGCUGUUAAUGAAAUUUAAAUAUUCAACACGUACCAGACUAGUGACAUCGAUAUCAGAGAUGGUGGAUAUAAUUUGCAUCAUUCAUCUCUUCCUAGGCAUUAUUUUAUUGCACCAUUUUGUAGGGUUAACAAUAGAUCUAUUCAUGCAUUAUCAUGUUUGUGUUUAUGAGGUAAUUUCAACUGUUUGUGUAAUCAUGGUUUUGUUUGUGCUUAUCCAGUUUGUUUCUUUCUACAAUUUAACUGAUGUCAUUUGUGCUGCACUUUUUCUUAGAACUCAAAAGUGUUACUUUCAAGUUUGAAGUAGUUAGAAUGUGAAUGAGAAAGUUGGUCUUAUGAAUAUAUUUAGGUGUGUUCAUUGUUCAGGUUCAACCAAAAUAACCAGACCGACUAAAUUUGGUUUUUGCUUUGAUGGAAUUUGGUGUUUUCAGUGCGGUUUUGUUUUCAUAUUAGUAGAACUGUGUAGAUCGAACUGAACCGAAUAUAAUACCAACCUAAAACACUGCCCUUUUAUGCAUUUAAAAGGAAAAUGGAAAAGCAAAACCCUAGCUCUUUUGCCUCUCACCCCACGCCUUCAGCUCUUUCUGAAAUUCUGCCUCAUAUCUAGACUCACACCCUCACCUUUUUCCUCAUCUUGCCUUACUCUGCUCUCUUCCAGUUCUCCCACUCCCCUCUCAAUCAUAGGGCUACAAAUUGACUGCUCCUUGGAUGUUUGUUUGGUGAAGAAGAUAUUGGAAGAACGAAUAGCUUCGUCAACAUCUCAUCUUCUCCAAUUCUUUUUGAGAAUAAGGUGCAUGUCCUGAAGGCCAAUUCUGACACGAAUCCAUCUUCUCCCUAUUCAUCUUUAUCCUUCUCUUCUUUGAGAAUUUCUAAGUACAAUUGAUUCUAGUUUUGGCUUAAUUUACAUUUUUUUUGGGGGAAAAAAUGAUGUGUAUAUACUUGAAAAUUGUUCUUCAGCUGGUUAUUAUUAUUAUUAUGGAAAAUAAUUGGGUAUUGACUGAAAGGUGAAAGUUAGAUUGAAAAUCAUUGGUUGUUUUUCCUGUAGUCUUUACUUCCACAAAGCUUUGAAUUUAAUGGCAUAAACCCUGCAAAAAUGGAUUGAAAAUUUGAUGGAAAAGGGAAUGCAGGAGUUCGUUCUAUAAAAACUGAACUGAAUAUUUCGGUUUGGUUUCUUCAGUAAAACGGUUCAGUUCGCUGGUUGUAUUUCUAAUGGUUCGGCUUUCAGUUUGACCAAAUGAACACCCCUCAAUAUAUUGUAAGCAUCUGAUGCCUAGUGCCUCUGGAAAAUGUAGGCACAUACUAGGUUUCCUAUUGCAUGAGCUAUCAGUUUGUUUGUAUUGGUUUUUUUAGCCCUAAAUCUAUAACCAGCUAGUGCUGAAAAUUGCAUUUGUGCAUUGAUUCUUGAAGAUUGUGUGGUGUUGAACUAAUUUGUUUAACAAUCUCAUUUGAAGCUAUGCACGCCAAGUUGCAGAGUUCUUUAAAUAUGUGAAGAACAGGAAAGAAGUUUUGCCCUCAAAAUCUGGCGAAGGUGGUCUUAUUGGCAACCGACAGGUCUUGCUGCCACGUGAAGGUGGAUUGUUUUUACCAAGCGAAAUGCACUUCCCUGCAUCAGCUCUCAAAUCUUUAGAUUUUAGACGAACAAUGUCAUUCAUGUCUGGUCAGUGACUGUACUUCUGACCUUCUUUUCCAACUGAUCUGUAAAGUGUUAUCUUAGUCUGACACACCUGCAGGUGAGACUUGUUAACUUUCUGUGCAUGUAAAGAUGUUAACCCCUAGGAUUUAGAAAAGUAGAGAUGUUUGUAAUGUUGAAUGCUUUGGUAAUCUAAUGUGUGAUUGUUGAAGCUUUAUUUCUACUGAAAAUGGUUGCGUUGGGAAGGUAUAGUAAUGAAAUUGGAGUGCCAACUUUAGUCUUUCACUUGUUAUUAUUCUGUAGAGUGUUAGAUUCUUGCAUCUUGUAAUAUUUCCAGGUGCAUGAGUUAUGUGGUACCAAUAUGCUUUCAACUUCUAUAGCCUGAAUGUGUUACAACCUGGGGCUGCUUGGGGCUGCUUGCUUCAAUAUGAUUGUUUAGUUUGAGAAGUUACACAGGACAUAAAA
rnacentral:misc_RNA from 1 species